GACGAACGCUGGCGGCGUGCUUAACACAUGCAAGUUGAACGGGGCAUAUUUGAAGGGUAACCGGAGGGUAUGUCUAGUGGCGAACGGGUGAGUAAUGCAUGAGAACGUAUCCUCAAGAGGGGGACAACAUUGGGAAACCGAUGCUAAUACCCCAUAAGCCGGGAGGUAAAAGGAGCAAUCCGCUUGAGGAGCGGUUCAUGUCCUAUCAGCUGGUUGGUGAGGUAACGGCUCACCAAGGCGAAGACGGGUAGCCGGCCUGAGAGGGUGACCGGCCCGAGGGGCACUGAGAUACGGGUCCCACUCCUACGGGAGGCAGCAGGCUAGAAAUUUGGGCAAUGGGGGAAACCCUGACCCAGUGACGCCGCGUGCAGGAAGGAGCCCUUCGGGGUGUAAACUGCUGUCGUGUAGGGAGGAAGGGUACUAAGGUGAACAAUCUUAGUACUUGACGGUACUAACAGGAGGAAGCCCAGGCUAACCUCGUG
rnacentral:rRNA from 1 species